AUUGAACGCUGGCGGCAGGCCUAACACAUGCAAGUCGAACGGUAACAGGAAGAAGCUUGCUUCUUUGCUGACGAGUGGCGGACGGGUGAGUAAUGUCUGGGAAACUGCCUGAUGGAGGGGGAUAACUACUGGAAACGGUAGCUAAUACCGCAUAACGUCGCAAGCCCAAAGAGGGGGACCUUCGGGCCUCUUGCCAUCGGAUGUGCCCAGAUGGGAUUAGCUAGUAGGUGGGGUAACGGCUCACCUAGGCGACGAUCCCUAGCUGGUCUGAGAGGAUGACCAGCCACACUGGAACUGAGACACGGUCCAGACUCCUACGGGAGGCAGCAGUGGGGAAUAUUGCACAAUGGGCGCAAGCCUGAUGCGGCCAUGCCGCGUGUAUGAAGAAGGCCUUCGGGUUGUAAAGUACUUUCAGCGGGGAGGAAGGGAGUAAAGUUAAUACCUGUGCUCAUUGACGGUACCCGCAGAAGAAGCACCGGCUAACUCCGUG
rnacentral:rRNA from 1 species